UACGGAGGGUGCAAGCGUUGUCCGGAAUCACUGGGCGUAAAGGGCGCGUAGGCGGCUCAUGAAGGCUGUGGUGAAAGUCCGGGGCUCAACCUCGGAUCGGCCGUGGCGACUCGUGGGCUGGAGCACUGUAGAGGCAGGUGGAAUUCCGGGUGUAGCGGUGGAAUGCGUAGAGAUCCGGAAGAACACCAGUGGCGAAGGCGGCCUGCUGGGCAGUGGCUGACGCUGAGGCGCGCCAGCGUGGGGAGCAAACAGG
rnacentral:rRNA from 1 species